UACGUAGGGUGCGAGCGUUGUCCGGAAUUAUUGGGCGUAAAGAGCUCGUAGGCGGUGUGUCACGUCGGCCGUGAAAACCUGCAGCUUAACUGUGGGCGUGCGGUCGAUACGGGCAUCACUGGAGUUCGGCAGGGGAGACUGGAAUUCCUGGUGUAGCGGUGGAAUGCGCAGAUAUCAGGAGGAACACCGGUGGCGAAGGCGGGUCUCUGGGCAGUAACUGACGCUGAGGAGCGAAAGCCAGGGGAGCAAACGGG
rnacentral:rRNA from 1 species